GCGUUGCCAUUCACCGUUGCCACGAACCCAUUGAAGCGUCAUCGUCGCCACGAACACAUUGAAGCAUCACCGUCGCCACGAACCCAUUGAAGCGUCACCAUUCACUGUCGCCGAUGAACCGUUGAAGCGUCGCCAUUCACCAUCGCCGAUGAACCGUUGAAGCGUCGCCAAAUCGACGGUGAUGCUUCGCCUUGUUCUCACCGGCGACGCUUUGAACCGCUGCCAAUAAGCCACGAACCAUCACCAAUUCUCGACGAUUCCCAUUGGGUGCCGAUUCUUCACUGCUGAUUUGGACCAUUCGCGACGAUCUGGAAUCAGUUUUGAAUCAUGAAAAUUGGCAAUGUUUUAUGAUAUUGCUUCAUUGGAUAAGUAUUUGUUCUCUGGUUCAUUGGAUUGCAUGAUAAAAGUUUGGUCUUCUACAGUGAAGAAUAGGCUAAAUACACAUUGUUUGCAAUAACUUUGGAUUUUUUCUGAAAGUUGUAAACUUAGCUUGAGCAAAAUUUCUUAUUGGUGGCUUUAGGAGAAUUCCUUUAGGCAUUAUUUGAAGAAUAUAAGGACAUCUUCCGUUGGUUCUAAUUAUAUUAUGCCACAUUUUUUGUAUUGUUAUGAAACAUCUUAAGUUAUUUUAUAUGUUACAAACAAUUAUUGUAUGGA